GAUAUCCGCGGCUGCCUUGUUAGCGCCUUCCUGGUUGUUGUAGUCGCUCGGCGGGUAAUUGCCAUAUCCGCGGCUGGAGCUCGGCGAGGUUAAGAGUUGAUUUAGAGUCGGUGUGGACGUGGCCUGUGGAUUUGCAAUAUUAUAGCGCUGAUUAUUGUAGGACGCGGCCAUAGUCGGAGAUCCUCCCGCUUGCUGCUGCUGCUUAGCCGCCUGAGCCGGAGCGCUGCGCGGCGAGUUGAUGGCGUAACCCGGGCUCGGAUACGGCGCUCGGUUGGGAAAUUGUCCGUAGCUGUUGAACUGAUGGUUUGGAAACCCGUGGUCGUGUGAGUUCGGUCCAUAAGGCUCCAUCAUGUUGCUGGCCGCCGCGGCUGCCAUGCCAGGGCUUUGUUGUCCGCCAUGUUGAUGAAAAGGGCCCCGUGCGUAGUGGUGAGCGUAGCCGUAGGACGGCGGCGGAAAACCGGACCCGUGGUGCUGAUGAGCCAUGCCCGGGUGGUUAUUCGCUUCGGGUCCGGCGGGAUCAUUUUGAUUAUUGGUGAGCCGCGGAGGAUUGCCGUUGCCGUUCUUCAUCUCAGACUCCCCUCCUCCUCCUCCUCCUCCCGUAGCAUUGCCAGGCUCGGGCCGCUCGUGCAGCUCGCCGCGACCCGGUGAUCCGAUCUCUGAUCCCGGCUCCUUAUUUUCCUGCUGCUUCUCGGCCGGUACCGACUCCUCCUUUGGGUCUCGGUCCGCUUUUUUCAGCUCGGAAGGCGGGCUGCUGUUGAGAGAGGUAGCGCUGGCGACCUGAGCGGCCAUGAUAACCCCCCUCUCUCUCUCUCUCCCUCUCGGCGAGUCAAGUCACAAUCGAACGCUAAACAUUGAAACGUAAAUACAACAGUUUUACAACCAUUUGCCCGUAUCUCGAGUCAUCCCCACCCCUUACCGCCGGACCGAAUCCGGACUGCACCGUUUGCACUGCUUUUCAGAAGCACUCUGAACAGUAAACUGUGUUCCCAGGGAAUGAAUUUAACCGACACGGAAUUUGUGGGGGUUUCUAUUACAGAACUAGACUACAGCGGAGGAACGGAUCACACCAGCACGAGGCUCAUACAGCCAUUUUACCGACACACACUGCAACAAGGAAAACCCGGACUGGAUCAUCGUCACAGUGCGGAAUGGGCUCGUUUGACGGGGAAGGGGGAGCUUGACGUUGCAUAACAGCAAGAAAAACACUUUUUUUUAGCAAUACAUAAAGUGACAUGCAAAAAUAUUUAAUCUGUAAUGCAUAUUUUGUAUUUUUGACUACUAACCCAACAGGUCGUUUGUAAAAAAAAAAAUCCUUUUGAUUUUAUUAAAUCUUUUUACAAAUUCAGUCCUAUUUUAACGUUUUACGCAGGGCUUACACUUUUGUUGACCAGUUUAGUGUUAUUGCGGCCAAACACGGCGGAACAGACUCAGAAAUAUUAAUUUAAAUCUCAUAGUGUGACCGCCCUGUAAACAAACCAUGUUAAUAGACAAGGAGAAAGAAUCCUUAUUUAUUCAAGCCCAGUUUUCUACGAUUUUCUGCACGAGCUCAGAUUGCGCUGAUUGAUGACGUAGCCAUGGCGUCAUAAUUUUCUUUAACUGCAGGUCUAUCAUUAGAGGAUCUUCAUCACAUAAUCUGACACUGAGUACACAUGCUAUCAUAACACAGUCUGUUACAGAAUUUAACCAAUAAUCUAUUAGAAUAAUCUUGAAAUUGGACCAGAUUUAAUGACAAUAUUUACAAAAUUGAUUGACACCAUUUACAAACUCACCAAACCAUUCAGUAUCCCCUGUGCAGAGGGGCUGGCACUCCUAUGAGAAGGGAAAUGUUCAUACAAUACAAUAAUGAUCAGUCAGAAUAACUCUAUAUUGAUUUGUAAUGCUUCUCUCUAAGGGGGUAAGUGGACCCAAAGAAUGCCAGCCAAACAUCCUCUAUAAGUUUUACCUGUAUUGCCUGUCAUUAUUUACACUUGUACACUAUAAUAUUAUUUGGCAACUACAUUACACAGAUAUUCAACUGAAAUUAUUAGGAAAUGUUACUACGUUAAUAUACAAUAAGUUUAACGUGUGAAUCUCGGAGGAAUUGGUUUGAAAUUUUAACUGAGGUUCGAAGGAAAUCUAGAAUAAGGGUGAGUUGCUUGUGAGUGUAGCAGAGGAAGAGGUAACAGAAGAUAGGACUGCUGGUGGGCGGGGCUACGACUGAAAGCAGGAAGUGAAAAUGGAAAAAAAGAACGAGAGAGGGAGGGAGAGGAGAAAAUCAGAUAAAAUACUGCAAGCGGUUGAAAAGCAGAAUACAUUAUCAUCGCAAAAUAACCUCUGCCUAUUUACACUGUAGUUCACUCAGGCCUCUAAGAGAAACAGAAAGGAGGAUCUGACGAGGGGAAAUAAUUUCUGUGCACAAGAAUAAGCUCGUUUCUUGUUGCUCAUGUCUCCCCGCCCCACACCCCUCUCUCUUUCUGUCUCUCUUUAGCUGAAGCUUUGCUGCUUGCAAAAGAAGCCCAGCACUGCGAGCGCCUGACUGUGGGGGAUGGGUAACAGCACAGCACACAGCGGCUUCAGUGCAGCACACACACACAGUGCUGCUAUACUGCUGGCCUACACUAUACUCCAGUCUCAACCAGAGAAUCAAUGACUGCCUGAAGUCUGGAACCCAUGGACAUCACCAAGUGCUAAGUUUCCUCCCUUUAGAUGACCAAGCCUUUAUGGCAACUGCCUUCAGUUGCUGCUCGCUUGUGGACCUUUCUGCCUUCAGGUUUGUCUUCAGUCCCCCCUGAUUAAUGAUGGCCUCCUUCACUUGCAUCGACACCUCUUUGGACUGCAUAUUAAGAACAGCUACCAAAUGCAAAUUCAAAACCUGGAAUCAACUCCAGAGCUUUUAUCUCCUUAAUUUGUCAUGAAAUAAUGAGGAAACAGGCCAUAGCUGGCCAUGAAACUGUUUAUCAGUCGAUUGUUCAACUACCUUUGAGACUGUGAAA